CCACGCAGCCGGGGAGUUAGCGGUGCCCUGUACCUACAAUCCGCUCUAGUAGGGGUGAUAUCGAGCAGAGGAUAUUUAUUUGUAGAGCCGCCUUUUAUAAGUGGCGUUGACGCCUGGGUCUUGCGCAAUAAGAACCUACGAACCGUGUCAGGAUGGGAACAUAGCAGCACUAAGAAGGACCUCUUAUGUGCCGCAAGGUCGCCUGGGCUGAGUUAACUGUAAGAGUAACGUCUAUGAAUUGUAUUCGAAGUAAGAUGCGUGG
rnacentral:SRP_RNA from 1 species